UCGGGAAUUUUGGGCAAUGGGCGAAAGCCUGACCCAGCAACGCCGCGUGAAGGAUGAAGUAUUUCGGUAUGUAAACUUCGUAAGAAUAGGAAGAAUAAAUGACGGUACUAUUUGUAAGGUCCGGCUAACUACGUGCCAGCAGCCGCGGUAAUACGUAGGGACCAAGCGUUGUUCGGAUUUACUGGGCGUAAAGGGCGCGUAGGCGGUUUAACAAGUCAGGCGUGAAAGCCCCGGGCUCAACCCGGGAAUAGCGUUUGAGACUGUUUUUCUAAGAGUUCGGAAGAGGUAAGUGGAAUUCCCAAUGUAGCAGUGAAAUGCGUAGAUAUUGGGAAGAACACCAGUGGCGAAGGCGGCUUACUGGUCCGACACUGACGCUGAGGCGCGAAAGCCAGGGGAGCAAACGGGAUUAGAUACCCGCGUAGUCCCUGAGCGGGCUGGCAAGGCGCAU
rnacentral:rRNA from 1 species